UACGUAGGCAGCAAGCGUUGUUCGGAAUUACUGGGCGUAAAGAGUGUGUAGGCGGUGCUCUAAGUCUGUUGUGAAAUCUCCCGGCUUAACCGGGAGGGUGCGGCGGAAACUGGAGUGCUUGAGGGUGGGAGAGGUAAGCGGAAUUCCUGGUGUAGCGGUGAAAUGCGUAGAUAUCAGGAGGAACACCUGUGGUGUAGACAGCUUACUGGACCACUUCUGACGCUGAGACACGAAAGCGUGGUAGCAAACAGG
rnacentral:rRNA from 1 species